CUGUAUACAUGUUGCAAGUUUUGAGGUCAUAGACAUGAUAGAGUUGAAAGUUUUGAUUCUUGUUGUGGGCUAUUUCUAUAAGCAGUGACAAGUUUGUUUUUUUUACAGGUCAAUUUUAUAGAAAAUAGGGUUGGAAGCUCUAUUAACACUUCAUUGCUUGUUCUUUUUUUUGUCUUGCAACAACAGUCAUGAAGCUUAUUACCAUGGUUACCAAAUGAAAGGAAAGUGCAGUAUUAGAAUCACUGGUGUACAUGUAGAUGCGGAUGUCCGGCAAAAAGAACUGGUAUCAAAAAACUGAAAAGUAAAGAAACAGAACCAAAGAACGUUAAUUUUAGAUUAAUACAAUAUUGAACUGAAA